UACGUAGGUGGCAAGCGUUGUCCGGAUUUACUGGGUGUAAAGGGCGUGUAGCCGGGUUGACAGGUCAGAUGUGAAAUCCUGCGGCUUAACCGCAGAACUGCAUUUGAAACUGUUGAUCUUGAGUACUGGAGAGGCAGACGGAAUUCCUAGUGUAGCGGUGAAAUGCGUAGAUAUUAGGAGGAACACCAGUGGCGAAGGCGGUCUGCUGGACAGCAACUGACGGUGAGGCGCGAAAGCGUGGGGAGCAAACAGG
rnacentral:rRNA from 1 species